rnacentral:rRNA from 1 species
UUUGUCCGGGAUUAGCUGAGAGGUGGUGCAUGGCCGUCGUCAGUUCGUACUGUGAAGCAUCCUGUUAAGUCAGGCAACGAGCGAGACCCACGCCCACAGUUGCCAGCGUACUCUCUGGAGUGACGGGUACACUGUGGGGACCGCCGCUGCUAAAGCGGAGGAAGGAAUGGGCAACGGUAGGUCAGUAUGCCCCGAAUAUCCCGGGCUACACGCGAGCUACAAUGGUUGGUACAAUGGGUAUCUACCCCGAAAGGGGACGGGAAUCUCCUAAAACCAAUCUUAGUUCGGAUUGAGGGCUGCAACUCGCCCUCAUGAAGCUGGAAUCCGUAGUAAUCGCGUUUCAACAGAACGCGGUGAAUACGUCCCUGCUCCUU